UGGGGAAUAUUGCACAAUGGGCGAAAGCCUGAUGCAGCAACGCCGCGUGCGGGAUGACGGCCUUCGGGUUGUAAACCGCUUUCAGCAGGGACGAAGGGUUUUCUGACGGUACCUGCAGAAGAAGCACCGGCUAACUACGUGCCAGCAGCCGCGGUGAUACGUAGGGUGCGAGCGUUGUCCGGAAUUAUUGGGCGUAAAGAGCUUGUAGGCGGUCCGUUGCGUCGGAAGUGAAAACUCAGGGCUUAACCCUGAGCCUGCUUUCGAUACGGGCGGACUUGAGGGAUGUAGGGGAGAACGGAAUUCCUGGUGGAGCGGUGGAAUGCGCAGAUAUCAGGAGGAACACCAGUGGCGAAGGCGGUUCUCUGGACAUUUCCUGACGCUGAGAAGCGAAAGUGUGGGGAGCAAACAGGCUUAGAUACCCUGGUAGUCCACGCCGUAAACGGUGGGCACUAGGUGUGGGACCCAUUCCACGGGUUCCGUGCCGUAGCUAACGCAUUAAGUGCCCCGCCUGGGGAGUACGGCCGCAAGGCU
rnacentral:rRNA from 1 species